AGCAGCCGCGGUAAUUCCAGCUCCAAUAGCGUAUAUUAAAGUUGUUGCAGUUAAAAAGCUCGUAGUUGAAUUUCGGGAUCAAUAUGUUGGUCGUGCCUUGGUACGUACUGGCAUUAUCGAUUCCUACCUUCUGAAGAACCUCGAUGUCAUUAAUUUGGUGUCUUGGGGAAUCAGGACUGUUACUUUGAAAAAAUUAGAGUGUUUAAAGCAGGCUCGCGCUUGAAUACAUUAGCAUGGAAUAAUGAAAUAGGACGUUUGAUUCUAUUUUGUUGGUUUCUAGGAUCGACGUAAUGAUUAAUAGGGAUAGUUGGGGGCAUUAGUAUUCAAUUGUCAGAGGUGAAAUUCUUGGAUUUAUUGAAGACUAACUACUGCGAAAGCAUUUGCCAAGGAUGUUUUCAUUAAUCAAGAACGAAAGUUAGGGGAUCGAAGGCGAUCAGAUACCGUCGUAGU
rnacentral:rRNA from 1 species